GGAGGAGGUGCAGUGUAACUGGCUGAGGUACAACAGUUGCGUGGCCUCAUUUCAAGCCUGGCUGGAGGAUGCUCAGGGGGCUCUUAGACAACCUGAGAACACCAAACGGGAGUUUUUUCGUAAUCUUCCACACUGGAUGGACCAGCACGCUGCUAUGAAU